CCAUAGCGUAUAUUAAAGUUGUUGCAGUUAAAAAGCUCGUAGUUGGAUUUCGGGGCAGCCUGGCUGGUCCGCCGCAAGGCGAGUACUGGUCAGCCGCCCUUCCUCUCGAAAGCCCCGACUGCUCUUCGUUGCAGUGGUCGGGUAGUUCGGGACGUUUACUUUGAAAAAAUUAGAGUGUUCAAGGCAGGCCUACGCCUGAAUACAUUAGCAUGGAAUAAUGGAAGAGGACCUCGGUCCUAUUUUGUUGGUUUCCAGGGCCGAAGUAAUGAUUAAGAGGGACAGUUGGGGGCAUUCGUAUUUAAUUGUCAGAGGUGAAAUUCUCGGAUUUAUGAAAGACGAACAACUGCGAAAGCAUUUGCCAAGGAUGUUUUCAUUAA
rnacentral:rRNA from 1 species